AGAAAACAAAUUCGAGCUCAGAUUCUUUUGCUCUGAGCAAACCAAAUUUACUCACCACGGAUGGGAUGUACGAGCUCUCUCCAUUGCCUCUAACGAGGAUCGAUCUAAGAGCAUUGACUGGCGGUGGCUUUGUUCUCUAUCUAGAUCUGAAUCAGAUGUAAUUGAACAGAUCUAGAAGUCUCUCAGUCUGCCUAUGGCUCUCUUAGACCAACAUCAUGGAUCCUGAUUCCCGACCUAUGCCGCUAAAGCUACAGACUUGAAUCAAGUGCUGGUUUGGUUGCCAAGAUGAGCAGAGGCACCCUCUUCUCUCAUCUGUUUAUCAGAUUGGAACCUAAUAAUGAGUAGCUUGAUACUUGAGAUUGUUAGUUAAUCAAGGCAUGGU